GACCGAUCCAGUGCUGAGGUUCAGCUGCUCUUUCUCUGUGGCCGCGUCCAGCACCCCUCAGGUGCAGCUCCAGCUCCAGCUCCACGCCGCCCCCAUCAGGAGAGAAUUUAAGUCGCACAAACACAUCCAGCCCCCCCGGCCCACAGGGGUGCAGGUGGAAGAGAGGGGGAGCGACUGGAGGCUGAGCUGGACUCUCCCACAUCUGGGCACCGUUCCCAUCGCCACGGAGAUCUUCUUCUGGAACGCCGACGUGCCGGUGAGGAAGCUGCUGUCACACAGACACAUAUAUAGAAGCUCCUGCCACUCUCAAUCUGUUCUUUACUGUGACAUACAAGCAUCUGUUCUCUGUCUGUCUCUGUACAGAAUAAUGUUGUAUUAUCGUGCUGUUUAUUUGUGUCAGACAUUUUCUGUCCCUUGCCGUUGUUUCAAGUUAAUCUCUUCUCUCCUCUCCUCACAUUCCCCCUCCUCUCCAAUAUCUCCCCGACAGGAGAGUAAUAAAUCCUUCUCUCUAGAGGCUGCCACCGCCUCUCACUCCAUCCCAACUGGAUCACUGCAGCCUUCCACACGCUACAGCGCCCGGGUCCGAGCCCUCGUGGACGCUUCGAGAAGCAGCCAUUACCGUGGCUACUCCUCCCAGUGGAGCGAGCCGGUCCACUGGACCACACGCUCAGGUGACCCCUAACCUCUGACCCCUAGUGUCUCUGACUGACACCGGAGCGAUCUUAAGUUCACUGUGGUAUCAGAUUCCCCAAAGGCUGUCCAUUGGGCCAAGUAGAUUAAAACUGUGUCAAAUACUGUUUUUUUUUUUUUUUUUACUUUAAACUACAUAAAUAUAGCUGGGUUCCAAUCAGAAAUGUGCAGUUGAAUAGAGAAGCGAGGACUGUAUCAGUUUUAACAGUGCCGUUAGCAACUCUUUCAAUUACUCUAAGAACUGACCCUCAUAUGCCCUGUGGGGGGAGCCAGGCCCGUAUCAUCUGUCAUCUCUUUUAAUCAACUCCUGUCCACACACUUAUUUUAAUUUCCAUUUGUGAGGGGCAGCCAUCUGGCAAACAUCCGUAAAACAGGGAGGGUGAGCAAACAAACAGCU
ensembl:lncRNA